rnacentral:misc_RNA from 1 species
UAAUAAGUGUUUUAUGGCACUUUUUAAAUCCAUAUCCACCUCGUGUGCAAUGUCAGUUGAUCUUCUUCAUGGAGAUCGACCAAACAUCAACCUUUAUCUUUUAACUCUUUGUCUGAAAAAUAUUAUGAAUAAACAAUUCAAAAUA